rnacentral:misc_RNA from 1 species
CCGGUGCCUCAGGUGUUGGAUCGACGGUCAGUGGUGGUGUGGGUGUCCGUGGGCAUGCGCGGUCUGGUCGAUGGAGUCGACGCGGCUCUUGAGCGCCGCGAGCUGGCCCCUGACGCUGAGGUCGAUGACGUGCGAGUCGUCGGUGCCGUAGCAGACGACGAAGCCGGCGAUGAGGGACGCGUCCACGGCGGUCUCUACCUUGAGGUCGACAAAGCCGGUGAGGCGGCGCAUCUUGCGCGCGAUGCGCUCGGCCUGGCGCGCGUCCAGCUCCACGGCGGAGGUCACCAGCACCCGGAGCGCGACCAUCUGCGGCGGCGGCGGGGCGCUGGCCUCGCCGUCCGGGACGGCGGGGGCCAUGCUGCAGUUCCGGUCCAGGAGCGACCGCAGGAAGUCGAGCGUGAGCGGCUUGAACGGGGCCGCGACUGGGACUGGGACUGGGACUGGGACGGACGCGGUGGUCCCGUCGAUGUGCUCGACGCCGACGUAGCUGCUGUCCCGGCGCAGCGUCUGCGCCUGCCACCGAGGGCAGUGCGCAUGGGACCGCCCCGCGGCCGCCGUGGUGCUCGGCUGCGCCGGCACGAGAUGGCCGCCUGGGCUGAUGGGCUGGUUCAAGAUCUUCAUCGCUACCCUGCACGUGAACAAUAAUAGUUCAAAAUCUAUAGCAGCAAGCACAAAGAAGAGGAACAUGUAUGGGACUGAGCAAGGACUCGAACAAUGAAACGCGGUGGUUCUUGCCUCAGCACUCAGCAGCACAAGCAGCUGGUGAUCGGAGGGAACGGCAGGGAAGCUGAGGCGAGGGUGGGGAGAAGCAGAAGACUGCGCGGCGCAGCAGUGUGGGGAAGGGUAAUAGCUGCCAGAGUGCCAGCGGGGGGGAUAAGAUAGCUGCUGCUGCGUAGCGUCGCUAGCUUGGUGUCGAGGAGGGGAAGAGGACGGGAGAGUUUGGCGUGCACACGAUGCGGCCCCGGCAGCCGCACACGCCCCAUCCGGGGAAAUCUGCAUCUGCGUGCCGCACACGCCCCAGUCCCCGCCCCGUGUGGUCACCACCGGUCAUUCCAUCAC